rnacentral:rRNA from 1 species
GUGAGGAAUAUUGGUCAAUGGGCGCAAGCCUGAACCAGCCAUGCCGCGUGCAGGAAUGAGGCCCUAUGGGUCGUAAACUGCUUUUGCUGCGGAGCAAUAAGUGCUACGUGUAACACGAUGAGAGUACGCAGCGAAUAAGCAUCGGCUAACUCCGUGCCAGCAGCCGCGGUAAUACGGAGGAUGCGAGCGUUAUCCGGAUUUAUUGGGUUUAAAGGGUGCGUAGGCUGUUCGUCAAGUCAGUGGUGAAAUGCCGGGGCUCAACCCCGGAGCUGCCAUUGAUACUGUCGGGCUUGAAUCCUGCUGCCGUGGGAGGAAUGAGUAGUGUAGCGGUGAAAUGCAUAGAUAUUACUCAGAACACCGAUUGCGAAGGCAUCUCACGAAACAGGCAUUGACGCUGAGGCACGAAAGCGUGGGGAUCAAACAGG